GAAGAAGGCUCAAUGGUAGAGCUCUCCCCUUGCACAUGUGAGGUCCUGGGUUCAAUCCUCAGCACGUCG
rnacentral:tRNA from 1 species